CAUUGGGACUGAGACACUGCCCAAACUCCUACGGGAGGCUGCAGUAGGGAAUUUUCCGCAAUGCACGAAAGUGUGACGGAGCGACGCCGCGUGUGUGAUGAAGGCUUUCGGGUCGUAAAGCACUGUUGUAAGGGAAGAAUAACUGAAUUCAGAGAAAGUUUUCAGCUUGACGGUACCUUACCAGAAAGGGAUGGCUAAAUACGUGCCAGCAGCCGCGGUAAUACGUAUGUCCCGAGCGUUAUCCGGAUUUAUUGGGCGUAAAGCGAGCGCAGACGGUUUAUUAAGUCUGAUGUGAAAUCCCGAGGCCCAACCUCGGAACUGCAUUGGAAACUGAUUUACUUGAGUGCGAUAGAGGCAAGUGGAACUCCAUGUGUAGCGGUGAAAUGCGUAGAUAUGUGGAAGAACACCAGUGGCGAAAGCGGCUUGCUAGAUCGUAACUGACGUUGAGGCUCGAAAGUAUGGGUAGCAAACGGGAUUAGAUACCCCGGUAGUCCAUACCGUAAACGAUGGGUGCUAGUUGUUAAGAGGUUUCCGCCUCCUAGUGACGUAGCAAACGCAUUAAGCACCCCGCCUGAGGAGUACGGCCGCAAGGCUAAAACUUAAAGGAAUUGACGGGGACCCGCACAAGCGGUGGAGCAUGUGGUUUAAUUCGAAGAUACGCGAAAAACCUUACCAGGUCUUGACAUACCAAUGAUCGCUUUUGUAAUGAAAGCUUUUCUUCGGAACAUUGGAUACAGGUGGUGCAUGGUCGUCGUCAGCUCGUGUCGUGAGAUGUUGGGUUAAGUCCCGCAACGAGCGCAACCCUUGUUAUUAGUUGCCAGCAUUUAGUUGGGCACUCUAAUGAGACUGCCGGUGAUAAACCGGAGGAAGGUGGGGACGACGUCAGAUCAUCAUGCCCCUUAUGACCUGGGCAACACACGUGCUACAAUGGGAAGUACAACGAGUCGCAAACCGGCGACGGUAAGCUAAUCUCUUAAAACUUCUCUCAGUUCGGACUGGAGUCUGCAACUCGACUCCACGAAGGCGGAAUCGCUAGUAAUCGCGAAUCAGCAUGUCGCGGUGAAUACGUUCCCGGGUCUUGUACACACCGCCCGUCAAAUCAUGGGAGUCGGAAGUACCCAAAGUCGCUUGGCUAACUUUUAGAGGCCGGUGCCUAAGGUAAAAUCGAUGACUGGGAUUAAGUCGUAACAAGGUAGCCGUAG
rnacentral:rRNA from 1 species